AAAAAAAAGGAAAAGGAAAAGGGGAAAAAAAGAAAGACACAAGACACAACUUAAAGAGUAGAAUGAGGAGCUGGAAGGGAGGGGGAGGCUCCCGCCGCGCCUUUCGCAGCAGGGGGGAGCGGGAGAAUUUGCAGGGAAAGCAAGAAUGAAUCAUGACAGAGAACAGAUUCCUCCAAAGAACUGAUUUUUCGUGAAAGUUUUGCUGCACACUAUUGCGGUCAGUGAGCAGAGACAAUUCAGAUAAAACAGGUCUAGGCUUUGAAGCAAGCAGUUCCUCUUCACUUGUACAGUGCUCAGGGGAAUUCAGUCCUGAUCUCUUCCUUGCAACUUCCACCUCUGAAGGCAACACAAAUCAUGAAUGGGGGUUUGCUGAUCCAU